rnacentral:rRNA from 1 species
UCGAGCGCGGGAAGCAGGCAGAUCCUCUUCGGAGGUGACGCUUGUGGAACGAGCGGCGGACGGGUGAGUAACACGUGGGCAACCUGCCUGUAAGAUUGGGAUAACCCCGGGAAACCGGGGCUAAUACCGGAUAAUACUUUUCGUUGCAUAACGAGAAGUUGAAAGGCGGCUUUUAGCUGUCACUUACAGAUGGGCCCGCGGCGCAUUAGCUAGUUGGUAAGGUAACGGCUUACCAAGGCGACGAUGCGUAGCCGACCUGAGAGGGUGAUCGGCCACACUGGGACUGAGACACGGCCCAGACUCCUACGGGAGGCAGCAGUAGGGAAUCUUCCGCAAUGGACGAAAGUCUGACGGAGCAACGCCGCGUGAGUGAUGAAGGUUUUCGGAUCGUAAAACUCUGUUGUCAGGGAAGAACAAGUGCCGUUCAAAUAGGGCGGCACCUUGACGGUACCUGACCAGAAAGCCCCGGCUAACUACGUGCCAGCAGCCGCGGUAAUACGUAGGGGGCAAGCGUUGUCCGGAAUUAUUGGGCGUAAAGCGCGCGCAGGCGGUCCUUUAAGUCUGAUGUGAAAGCCCACGGCUUAACCGUGGAGGGCCAUUGGAAACUGGAGGACUUGAGUACAGAAGAGGAGAGUGGAAUUCCACGUGUAGCGGUGAAAUGCGUAGAGAUGUGGAGGAACACCAGUGGCGAAGGCGACUCUCUGGUCUGUAACUGACGCUGAGGUGCGAAAGCGUGGGGAGCGAACAGGAUUAGAUACCCUGGUAGUCCACGCCGUAAACGAUGAGUGCUAGGUGUUAGGGGGUUUCCGCCCCUUAGUGCUGAAGUUAACGCAUUAAGCACUCCGCCUGGGGAGUACGGCCGCAAGGCUGAAACUCAAA